rnacentral:rRNA from 1 species
CCUACGGGAGGCAGCAGUGAGGAAUAUUGGUCAAUGGCGCAGACCUGAACCAGCCAAGUCCCCGGAGGGGAGACUGCCCUAUGGGUUGUAAACCUCUUUUAUAAGGGAAGAAUAAUGACUACGUGUAGUCAGAUGCCCGUACCUUAUACAUAAGCAUCGGCUAACUCCUUGCCAGCAGCCGCGGUAAUAGGGAGACUGCGAGCGUUAUCCGGAUUUAUUGGGUUUAAAGGGUGCGUAGGCGGUAUUUUAAGUUAGUGGUAAAACGUCGGGGCUUCCCCUUGAUUGGCAAUUAAAACUGGAGUACUAGAGUACAGACGAGGUAGGCGGAAUAAGUUAAGUAGCGGUGAAAUGCUUAGAUAUAACUUAGAACCCCGAUAGCGAAGGCAGCUUACCAGACUGUUACUGACGCUGAAGCACGAGAGCGUGGGUAGCGAACAGGAUUAGAUACCCCUGUAGUC